GCCUGGGUGGCUCAGUCAGUUAAGCGUCCAACUUGGGCUCAGGUCAUGAUCUCGCAGUUUGUGGGUUCAAAUCCCCACCUCGGGCU
rnacentral:tRNA from 1 species